AAACUCUGGUUUCUCUCCAGAUCGCAUAAAUCUUUCGCCUUUUACUAAAAGAUUUCCGUUGGGAGAACAUUACUGAGUAUCAACAAAUUUUUGAUGCCCUGCUGUGCAGGGCU